AUUGAACGCUGGCGGCAUGCCUAACACAUGCAAGUCGGACGAGCGGCGGACGGGUGAGUAAUGUCUGGGGAUCUGCCUGAUGGCGGGGGAUAACUACUGGCAACGGUAGCUAAUACCGCAUACCAUCAGAUGAACCCAGAGUGGAUUAGCUAGUAGGUGAGGUAACGGCUCACCUAGGCGACGAUCCCUAGCUGGUCUGAGAGGAUGAUCAGCCACACUGGGACUGAGACACGGCCCAGACUCCUACGGGAGGCAGCAGUGGGGAAUAUUGCACAAUGGGCGCAAGCCUGAUGCAGCCAUGCCGCGUGUAUGAAGAAGGCCUUCGGGUUGUAAAGUACUUUCAGUCGGGAGGCGUUACCGACAGAAGAAGCACCGGCUAACUCCGUGCCAGCAGCCGCGGUAAUUC
rnacentral:rRNA from 1 species